UACGAAGGGGGCUAGCGUUGUUCGGAAUUACUGGGCGUAAAGCGCGCGCAGGCGGCUAUCCAAGUUAGUGGUGAAAGCCCGGAGCUCAACUCCGGAACUGCCAUUGAAACUGUUUAGCUUGAGGAUGAGAGAGGUGAGUGGAAUUCCCAGUGUAGAGGUGGAAAUUCGUAGAUAUCGGGGAGGAACACCAGGUGGCGAAGGCGGCGACCUGGGCCAAUAUUGACGCUGAGGUGCGAAAGCGUGGGGAGCAAACAGG
rnacentral:rRNA from 1 species